AUGCUUGCUUUGGUAGCACCUAUACUAAAAUUGGAACGAUACUGAUAAGAUUAGCAUGGCCCCUGCACAAGGAUGACACGCAUAUUCGUGAAGCGUUUCAUAUUUUU
ensembl:snRNA U6 U6 spliceosomal RNA